rnacentral:rRNA from 1 species
AGCAGUCGCCGCGGGAAUACGUAGGUGGCAAGCGUUGUCCGGAAUUAUUGGGCGUAAAGGGCUCGCAGGCGGUUUCUUAAGUCUGAUGUGAAAGCCCCCGGCUCAACCGGGGAGGGUCAUUGGAAACUGGGAAACUUGAGUGCAGAAGAGGAGAGUGGAAUUCCACGUGUAGCGGUGAAAUGCGUAGAGAUGUGGAGGAACACCAGUGGCGAAGGCGACUCUCUGGUCUGUAACUGACGCUGAGGAGCGAAGGCGUGGGGAGCGAACAGGAUUAGAUACCCGUGUAGUCCCUGUCUCUUAUAC